rnacentral:misc_RNA from 1 species
UCCGGAAGGUGCGGCUGGAUCACCUCCUUUCUAAGGAGCACCUGGCGCUGUCGGCCGAAGGCCGUCGGCGUCCAGCGCCUUUUCCGGGCGCAUGUCCCGGAAGGCCGCUCUGUGGAGCACUGGUUAUUCGGUCUGGGCGUUCGCCCCGGUCGGCUAGUACUGUCAGCGCGGUAGAGCGUGCUGGCGUGGAACGCAGAUCCGCGGGGAUGGCCAGGCCGAGCACGCUGUUGGGUCCUGAGGGAACGGCCGCCUGGCCGGUUUACCUCUGUCGGACCGAAUCCUCCUCGCCCCCGUGGCGGGUGAGGCUCGGGUACCGCCCGUAUCUUAAGAACUGCACAGUGGACGCGAGCAUCAUCUGUAGUUGCCAAGUUAAUAAGGGCACAC